rnacentral:rRNA from 1 species
AUUGAACGCUGGCGGCAUGCCUUACACAUGCAAGUCGAACGGCAGCACGGGUGCUUGCACCUGGUGGCGAGUGGCGAACGGGUUAGUAAUACAUCGGAACAUGUCCUGUAGUGGGGGAUAGCUCGGCGAAAGCCUGAUUAAUAUCGCAUACGAUCUACGGCUGAAAGCGGGGGACCUUUGGGCCCCGCGCUUUUGGCUCGGCCGAUGGCUGAUUAGCUAGUUGGUGGGGUAAAGGCCUACCAAGGCGACGAUCAGUAGCUGGUCUGAGAGGACGACCAGCCACACUGGGACUGAGACACGGCCCAGACUCCUACGGGAGGCAGCAGUGGGGAAUUUUGGACAAUGGGCGAAAGCCUGAUCCAGCAAUGCCGCGUGUGUGAAGAAGGCCUUCGGGUUGUAAAGCACUUUUGUCCGGAAAGAAAUCCUUGGCCCUAAUACGGUCGGGGGAUGACGGUACCGGAAGAAUAAGCACCGGCUAACUACGUG